rnacentral:lncRNA from 1 species
AGUGAAACAGCCUCAGGAGGUCUUGAGAACACGUGUCAAAGGUCGUCGGGCUACAGGUUGGUUUUACACAUUUUAGGGAGACAUAAGAUAUCAAUCAAUACGUGUAAGCUGUACAUUGCUUUGAUAUGGAAAGGCAGGACAGCCCGAAGGAGGGGGGAUGUUGGGGACUUCCAGGUCAUAGGUGGAUUCAAAGAUUUCAUAGGUGGUUGAAAGAGUUUAUCUAAUGACCUGUAAUCAACACAAGGGAGUUUCUGGGUUUAGGAAAAGGGUUUUGGAGCCAAGGUUGCAUCAUGCAGAUGAAGCCUCCAGGUAGCAGGCUUCAGAGAGAAUAGAUUGUAAUUGUUUCUUAGUAGACUUAAAAGGUGCCAAACUCUUAGUUAAAUCUCUCUGGGUCAGGAAAGAGACUUAAAAAGGAAUCUCUACAGAAUGUAGAUUUUUCCCACAAGAACCAGCUUUGCAGAGGCAUUUUUAAAUACAUUAAAUAACAAUAUCUUGGGGAAAAUACUUUGAUUUCUCUUAGGAUGUGGUAUCUGUCACAUUGGUAUCUUAUUGCUAUAAAGAGUUUUGUUUGUCAGUCUCAAGGUCUCUGUCUUCAUAUUAAAAGCUGGUCAGUUGUGCCUGAAUUUUAAAGGGAAGAGGGUAAGUUAAGGCAUAUCCAAUCAUCCGUUCUGAUCAUGGACUGCAUUGUAUUUCAGGUUGAUUUUGGUGUGUCCUUGGCUGAGAGGAGGAGUUCAUUCAGUUGGUUAGGGAGCUUAGAGUUUCAUUUUUGGUUUACACACCUAUGUCCAGGUAAGAGGGCCCCACACAGGAGAGCUUGCUCGGAACCUGGCUUGCAGGGCUGCUUACAGACCUUCUAUGUCUCCUGUUGUCAUGCACAAGGAAGGACACAGCCAAUGACAACCCUCAGCCAUCCGGGGAGAAGCUGUGUCUGCAGAGGACGGUCAUGAGCUGUGAGUCUAGAGACCUGUGAUUGUCUUCAGGGGCCUGUGGUCCUCGGCUUUCACAGGAGUUGUGGGGGCACUGGCUCAAAUAGCAUCCACCAGGAUUCCAAUCAGAAUAUCUCAUUCACAGAAGGCAGUGGGUGAUAUGACAGCACAGAGGGACUCUGUGGGGCCAGCUGCAUGGAGCACUCUGGGAGAGUCACUGGCACCCGUGCUAGGCAGAGCUUCAUUCAACUUCUGGAGCACACGGAUUUAGA